GACGAACGCUGGCGGCGUGCUUAACACAUGCAAGUCGAACGAUGAAGCCCUUCGGGGUGGAUUAGUGGCGAACGGGUGAGUAACACGUGGGCAAUCUGCCCUGCACUCUGGGACAAGCCCUGGAAACGGGGUACAAUACCGGCUGACACCUGCCGACGCAUCUCGACGGGUUGAAAGCUCCGGCGGUGCAGGCGGAGUCCGCGGCCUAUCAGCUGGUUGGUGAGGUAACGGCUCACCAAGGCGACGACGGGUAGCCGGCCUGAGAGGGCGACCGGCCACACUGGGACUGAGACACGGCCCAGACUCCUACGGGAGGCAGCAGUGGGGAAUAUUGCACAAUGGGCGAAAGCCUGAUGCAGCGACGCAGCGUGAGGGAUGACGGCCUUCGGGUUGUAAACCUCUUUCAGCAGGGAAGAAGCGCAAGUGACGGUACCUGCAGAAGAAGCGCCGGCUAACUACGUGCCAGCAGCCGCAGUAAGAC
rnacentral:rRNA from 1 species